GACGAACGCUGGCGGCGUGCUUAACACAUGCAAGUCGAACGGAAAGGCCCUGCUUUUGUGGGGUGCUCGAGUGGCGAACGGGUGAGUAACACGUGAGUAACCUGCCCUUGACUUUGGGAUAACUUCAGGAAACUUGGGCUAAUACCGGAUAGGAGCUCCUGCUGCAUGGUGGGGGUUGGAAAGUUUCGGCGGUUGGGGAUGGACUCGCGGCUUAUCAGCUUGUUGGUGGGGUAGUGGCUUACCAAGGCUUUGACGGGUAGCCGGCCUGAGAGGGUGACCGGCCACAUUGGGACUGAGAUACGGCACAGACUCCUACGGGAGGCAGCAGUGGGGAAUAUUGCACAAUGGGCGGAAGCAUGAUGCAGCAACGCCGCGUGCGGGAUGACGGCAUUCGGGUUGUAAACCGAUUUCGCCUGUGACGAAGCGUGAGUGACGGUAAUGGGUAAAGAAGCACCGGCUAACUACGUG
rnacentral:rRNA from 1 species